GGCCCGCCCGGGAGCGCGGCGCGGCGGCAUGGUGGUCGCGGUGGACGUGCACCAGGUCUUCCAGUACCCGUUCGAGCAGGUGGUGGCCAGCUUCCUGCGCAAGUACCCCAAUCCUAUGGAUAAAAAUGUCAUCGCUGUAAAAAUUGUGGAAGAAAAGAAAGAUGAAUCAACAGGAAUCAUCUAUAGAAAGAGGAUUGCCAUCUGUGAGAAUGUGGUUCCAGAAAUCUUAAGGAAGGUGAGCAUUUUAAAGGUACCUAGUAUCCAGUUAGAAGAGGAAUCAUGGCUCAAUCUUCAGGAAAGAAACAUGGCCAUACGGAGUCGCUGUCUCACAUGGACACAGUAUGCUUCCAUGAAGGAAGAGUCUGUCUUCCGGGAAAGUAUGGAAAAUCCUAACUGGACAGAGUUUAUUCAAAGAGGCAGGAUUUCCAUUACAGGAGCUGGGUUUCUCAACUGUAUUUUGGAAACUUUUGCCAGUGCAUUCUUAAAACAAGGAGCUCAGAAGGUGAGGAAAUGAGGGCACACAGUGAAUAAAUUACUUGCAUAAAGUCACCAGCCAGUGAGUGGAAGGCCCGGAAUUAGAAUCCAGCUGGUUUGAUCUCAGAGCUUCUUACUGUGGAAGACAAAAUGCUUUUUCCUGAACUGCUUAGAGAGAGAGAAUCAGCAUACCAGGCCUUCAGCCCCUGCAGUUAGAUGCCAGAUGUGUGCACCCCUUGUAUCCUGGCAUUACUUUGUCCGUUUGGCUUAUGUUGGACCUGGAGAGUUGAACAUGAGUCCUUAGAUUUCACAGCCAUGUGCCUUAACCGCUAAGCCAUCUCUCCAGCCCGAAACUUGCUUUCUUAAUGUUCUUCUGCUGUUACCUUCAGCCAGGUACUGGGAUAAUUUGGGCACUGUGUUCUCCCCAGAC